UACGUAGGGGGCAAGCGUUGUCCGGAUUUAUUGGGCGUAAAGAGCGUGUAGGCGGUUCGGUAGGUCCGUUGUGAAAACUCGAGGCUCAACCUCGAGACGCCGAUGGAAACCCUCGAACUAGAGUCCGGAAGAGGAGAAUGGAAUUCCUGGUGUAGCGGUGAAAUGCGCAGAUAUCAGGAAGAACACCCGUGGCUAAGGCGGUUCUCUAGUACGGUACUUACGCUGAGACGCGAAAGCGUGGGGAGCGAACAGG
rnacentral:rRNA from 1 species